UCCCACCCUGUCGACAUGGCUUAGUUGUGUGUGUGACCAGCUGUAUGGCGAAAUUGCGACGAGGUGAUCCCCACUCUUCUGAAAUACGACCAGUGGAAGAUGGGGACUGUCAACGCCGUAGGGAGUGUUAGAAAUCUACCGUCGACAUCAGGGUCCACACCGCAUCAAAGAAUGUCGGAACAACCGUAACUAAAUUAAGACUCCAAAUCGGCGGCGUAAGACUCGACUCUCCUACAUCACUUCUCAAGUAGUACCAGGAUGUAAAGAAACCCUUCGUCCUCAUUGUCGACUGCAGCAGCACCGACAUUAGGGGUGUCUUGAUGCAGCAGCGCGAAGAUGAGAUCCUGCCAGUCGGCUACUACAGCUACAAGCUGACACCGUACCAACGCAAUUACAGUACAGUCGAAAAGGAGCUAUUCGCCAUCAUCCUCUGCUUACAACACUAUGAACCCUGUCUCCAAGGUAAUCAUCCCAUCACCAUCUUCUCGAAUCGCAAUCCCCUUCGGUUCUUGCAGCAGGCCCAGUUCUCCAACCAAUGCUUACUUCGUUGGGCCUUGUACCUGCAGAACUACAACAUCUUCAUCAAGGGCUCGGACAACGUCGUCGCAGACGCACUCUCCCAAGUCCACGAAGUGGAACCUCCCGCUUCCAAUCUUCUAUCCGCAUUAGCAUCUUGGGGAAGAGGCUUCGGGGAGAUAAUGUUACGUUAUUCUCCUGCAUAAGCAGUGGAUUCUGCUCUUCCUACAGUCUUCAACACCAGCAUGAUAUACUACUUCCCGUCAACCUCAAGAACUGCCAGCAAUACGUACCGAAACUUUUGACC